rnacentral:rRNA from 1 species
AAGCGGUGGAGCAUGUGGUUAAUUCGACGCAACGCGAAGAACCUUUACCUGGGCUUGACAUCCCGAUCGCACCUUAUGGAAACAUAGGGGUCAGUUCGGCUGGAUCGGUGACAGGUGCUGCAUGGCUGUCGUCAGCUCGUGUCGUGAGAUGUUGGGUUAAGUCCCGCAACGAGCGCAACCCUUAUCCCUAGUUGCCAUCAGGUAAAGCUGGGAACUCUGGGGAGACUGCCGGUGAUAAACCGGAGGAAGGCGGGGAUGACGUCAAGUCCUCAUGGCCCUUACAUCCCGGGCUACACACGUGCUACAAUGGCAGGUACAGAGGGCUGCGAAGCCGCGAGGUGGAGCGAAUCCCAGAAAACCUGUCUCAGUCCGGAUUGAAGUCUGCAACUCGACUUCAUGAAGGCGGAAUCGCUAGUAACCGCGAAUCAGCAGGUCGCGGUGAAUACGUUCCCGGGCCUU